rnacentral:rRNA from 1 species
AGUUUGAUCCUGGCUCAGGAUGAACGCUAGCUACAGGCUUAACACAUGCAAGUCGAGGGGCAGCAUGGUCUUAGCUUGCUAAGGCCGAUGGCGACCGGCGCACGGGUGAGUAACACGUAUCCAACCUGCCGUCUACUCUUGGACAGCCUUCUGAAAGGAAGAUUAAUACAAGAUGGCAUCAUGAGUUCACAUGUUCACAUGAUUAAAGGUAUUCCGGUAGACGAUGGGGAUGCGUUCCAUUAGAUAGUAGGCGGGGUAACGGCCCACCUAGUCUUCGAUGGAUAGGGGUUCUGAGAGGAAGGUCCCCCACAUUGGAACUGAGACACGGUCCAAACUCCUACGGGAGGCAGCAGUGAGGAAUAUUGGUCAAUGGGCGAGAGCCUGAACCAGCCAAGUAGCGUGAAGGAUGACUGCCCUAUGGGUUGUAAACUUCUUUUAUAAAGGAAUAAAGUCGGGUAUGUAUACCCGUUUGCAUGUACUUUAUGAAUAAGGAUCGGCUAACUCCGUGCCAGCAGCCGCGGUAAUACGGAGGAUCCGAGCGUUAUCCGGAUUUAUUGGGUUUAAAGGGAGCGUAGAUGGAUGUUUAAGUCAGUUGUGAAAGUUUGCGGCUCAACCGUAAAAUUGCAGUUGAUACUGGAUAUCUUGAGUGCAGUUGAGGCAGGCGGAAUUCGUGGUGUAGCGGUGAAAUGCUUAGAUAUCACGAAGAACUCCGAUUGCGAAGGCAGCCUGCUAAGCUGCAACUGACAUUGAGGCUCGAAAGUGUGGGUAUCAAACAGGAUUAGAUACCCUGGUAGUCCACACGGUAAACGAUGAAUACUCGCUGUUUGCGAUAUACGGCAAGCGGCCAAGCGAAAGCGUUAAGUAUUCCACCUGGGGAGUACGCCGGCAACGGUGAAACUCAAAGGAAUUGACGGGGGCCCGCACAAGCGGAGGAACAUGUGGUUUAAUUCGAUGAUACGCGAGGAACCUUACCCGGGCUUAAAUUGCAGAUGAAUUACGGUGAAAGCCGUAAGCCGCAAGGCAUCUGUGAAGGUGCUGCAUGGUUGUCGUCAGCUCGUGCCGUGAGGUGUCGGCUUAAGUGCCAUAACGAGCGCAACCCUUGUUGUCAGUUACUAACAGGUUCCGCUGAGGACUCUGACAAGACUGCCAUCGUAAGAUGUGAGGAAGGUGG